rnacentral:rRNA from 1 species
UACAGAGGUCUCAAGCGUUGUUCGGAUUCAUUGGGCGUAAAGGGUGCGUAGGCGGCGCGGUAAGUCGGGUGUGAAAUCUUGGAGCUUAACUCCGAAACUGCAUUCGAUACUGCCGUGCUUGAGGACUGGAGAGGAGACUGGAAUUUACGGUGUAGCGGUGAAAUGCGCAGAUAUCAGGAGGAACACCGGUGGCGAAGGCGGGUCUCUGGGCCGAUACUGACGCUGAGGCGCGAAAGCGUGGGGAGCAAACAGG